AACGAACGCUGACGGCAGGCCUAACACAUGCAAGUCGAGCGAAGCCUUCGGGCUUAGCGGCGGACGGGUGAGUAACGCGUGGGAACGUGCCCUUUGGUACGGAAUAGCCUCGGGAAACUGGGAGUAAUACCGUAUGUGGUCGAGAGACGAAAGAUUUAUCGCCAAAGGAUCGGCCCGCGUCCGAUUAGGUGGUUGGUGGGGUAAUGGCCUACCAAGCCGACGAUCCAUAGCUGGUUUGAGAGGAUGAUCAGCCACACUGGGACUGAGACACGGCCCAGACUCCUACGGGAGGCAGCAGUGGGGAAUCUUAGACAAUGGGGGAAACCCUGAUCUAGCCAUGCCGCGUGAUCGAUGAAGGCCUUAGGGUUGUAAAGAUCUUUCAGUGGGGAAGAUAAUGACUGUACCCACAGAAGAAGCCCCGGCUAACUCCGUGCCAGCAGCCGCGGUAAUAC
rnacentral:rRNA from 1 species